rnacentral:misc_RNA from 1 species
GAUGAAGAACGUAGCGAAAUGCGAUAAGUAGUGUGAAUUGCAGAAUUCAGUGAAUCAUCGAAUCUUUGAACGCACAUUGCGCCUCCUGGUAUUCCGGGAGGCAUGCCUGUUCGAGCGUCAUUGAAAUCACUCAAGCUUAGGUUUACCUAUUGCUUGGUCUUGGAGAUGGAAGCCAAUUUAUUGGAAUCCUCUUCGAAAUUCAAUGGCGAAGACCCUUGCUCUCCCAAGUGUAGUAAUAACUUAUGUCACUGAAGGAAGCGAGAAAUCUUCUGCCGUAACCCCCAUAUUUUCUAUGAUUGACCUCGGAUCAGGUAGGGAUACCCGCUGAACUUAAGCAUAUCAAUAAGCGGAGGA